AUUCAAGUAUAAGCGCCAGAGCUGUUAACUAAAGAUGACAGCUGACGAGGUGAAGGUUAAUCGAUUAUUCGGCGGAUGCCUUCCGGCUGUAUACCUCAGUCGUAGUCUUCAAACAAAACUAAGAGGUAACUCUUACGACAAAAUUGGAGAAAAGGUAAAUA
rfam:Turicibacter sp. H121, complete genome.